AAUAGGAUACCCAGGUAGUCCACGCCGUAAACGAUGGUGACUAGGUGUGGCUGGCUUAAGGGCUGGUCGUGCCGAAGCCAACGCGAUAAGUCACCCGCCUGGGGAGUACGGCCGCAAGGCUAAAAACUCAAAGGAAUUGACGGGGGGCCCGCACAAGCAGCGGAGCGUGUGGUUUAAUUCGAUGCAACGCGAAGAACCUUACCUGGGAUUGACAUGACGGUGGUAGAAGGGUGAAAGCCCGACGACCCGCAAGGGAGCCGCCACAGGUGCUGCAUGGCUGUCGUCAGCUCGUGUCGUGAGAUGUUGGGUUAAGUCCCGCAACGAGCGCAACCCCCGUGUCGCCAGUUUUCAGGUGUCUGGCGAGACUGCCCGUGCAAGCGGGAGGAAGGUGGGGAUGACGUCAAGUCAGCAUGGCCUUUAUAUCCAGGGCGACACACACGCUACAAUGGCUGGGACAAUAGGACGCGAAGACCGAGAGGUGGAGCCGAAUCCAUAAACCCCGAGUCUCAGUUCGGAUUGGGGGGUCUGCGAACCUCGCCCCCCGU
rnacentral:rRNA from 1 species